CCUACGGGUGGCAGCAGUGAGGAAUAUUGGUCAAUGGACGAGAGUCUGAACCAGCCAAGUAGCGUGAAGGAUGACUGCCCUAUGGGUUGUAAACUUCUUUUAUAUGGGAAUAAAACGUUCCACGUGUGGGAUUUUGUAUGUACCAUAUGAAUAAGGAUCGGCUAACUCCGUGCCAGCAGCCGCGGUAAUACGGAGGAUACGAGCGUUAUCCGGAUUUAUUGGGUUUAAAGGGAGCGUAGGUGGAUUGUUAAGUCAGUUGUGAAAGUUUGCGGCUCAACCGUAAAAUUGCAGUUGAAACUGGCAGUCUUGAGUACAGUAGAGGUGGGCGGAAUUCGUGGUGUAGCGGUGAAAUGCUUAGAUAUCACGAAGAACUCCGAUUGCGAAGGCAGUUCACUGGACUGCAACUGACACUGAGGCUCGAAAGUGUGGGUAUCAAACAGGAUUAGAGACCCUGGUAGUC
rnacentral:rRNA from 1 species